AUGGUUCACGGGAUUCUGCAAUUCACACCAAGUAUCGCAUUUCGCUACGUUCUUCAUCGAUGCAAGAGCCUAGAUAUCCGUUGCCGAGAGUCAUUCUAUAUCAUGUGUCAAAACACAACCCGCACGAAAACCGUCUCCGAUGCCAUGCAAGUUCAGUGGACUUCUCACAACGUCGCGGGCAGCGGACCGCCCACGUCGCCGCAAUCCGAACACUUCACCGGACCAUUCAAUCGGUAG
rnacentral:lncRNA from 1 species